UACGUAGGGUCCGAGCGUUGUCCGGAAUUACUGGGCGUAAAGAGCUCGUAGGCGGUUCAGUAAGUCGGGUGUGAAAACUCUGGGUUCAACCCAGAGACGCCACCCGAUACUGCUGUGACUUGAGUACGGUAGGGGAGUGGGGAAUUCCUGGUGUAGCGGUGAAAUGCGCAGAUAUCAGGAGGAACACCAGUGGCGAAGGCGCCACUCUGGGCCGUAACUGACGCUGAGGAGCGAAAGCGUGGGUAGCAAACAGG
rnacentral:rRNA from 1 species